AUAUUGUUCUUACAUCUCUUCUGAAAAAAAAAUCCACAUGUUUGUUAUCAGUUAAACUGAAACUACAAGUCCAAUCGACCCAAAAUUUACAGUCAGCAGGGCAUACAUGUACUAAAGGUUCAUAAAACAACGUGGUGCCGAUAUCUCUCAAGACUUUUCCUAGAGAAAAAAAAUUGCAAUGCCGUAAAAAUUGCUUGCUAGGUCCGUAAAUCUCAGUGAAAUGCUACAAUAAAAAUGUCCGCUCCUAGAUUGAAAUACUUAUCUGUGUUACAAACUGGUGCUGAAAAAUGUACAUUAUCAGAAAAUAAUCCUUAAAUGUGUUUUAAAGUUACACCGAAUCAAUUAAAUCCAAAACAUGCACUGCUGGUGAACUGUGAUCAAAAUGUCAAUUUCCUACAAUGACAAAAGAAAUUACAUUGUGUACAUUCCGUCUCUAUACAUGUUGUCUGUUCAACAUCCCCACCUAAAGAGAAGACUAAAAUUUUUUCGUUAUUAUAAACCCAAGUCACGUGAUGUCUCCUCAAUCUGGCGCGCGCGCGCUGGACCUAAAAUAAAAUAAAAACUUUCCAAACUAAACAUGAAACUUCUCCGGUAACAAAUAAUAUAGACCCCUUACAGAAACAAACAAACAAACAAACAAACAAACAAACAAACAAACACACAAACACACACACCCCCCCCC
rnacentral:lncRNA from 1 species